rnacentral:rRNA from 1 species
UUCCGGUUGAUCCUGCCGGAGGUUACUGCUAUCGGUGUUCGCCUAAGCCAUGCGAGUCAUAUGUAGCAAUACAUGGCGUACUGCUCAGUAACACGUGGAUAACCUGCCCUUGGGUCCGGCAUAACCCCGGGAAACUGGGGAUAAUUCCGGAUAACGCAUAUGUGCUGGAAUGCUUUAUGCGUCAAAUGGAUUCGUCCGCCCAAGGAUGGGUCUGCGGCCUAUCAGGUAGUAGUGGGUGUAAUGUACCUACUAGCCAGCGACGGGUACGGGUUGUGAGAGCAAGAGCCCGGAGAUGGAUUCUGAGACAUGAAUCCAGGCCCUACGGGGCGCAGCAGGCGCGAAAACUUUACAAUGCGGGAAACCGUGAUAAGGGGACACCGAGUGUCAGCAUCAUAUGCUGGCUGUCCAGGUGUGUAAAAUACACCUGUUAGCAAGGGCCGGGCAAGACCGGUGCCAGCCGCCGCGGUAACACCGGCGGCCCGAGUGGUGAUCGUGAUUAUUGGGUCUAAAGGGUCCGUAGCCGGUUUGGUCAGUCCUCCGGGAAAUCUGAUAGCUCAACUAUUAGGCUAUCGGGGGAUACUGCCAGGCUUGGAACCGGGAGAGGUAAGAGGUACUACAGGGGUAGGAGUGAAAUCUUGUAAUCCCUGUGGGACCACCUGUGGCGAAGGCGUCUUACCAGAACGGGUUCGACGGUGAGGGACGAAAGCUGGGGGCACGAACCGGAUUAGAUACCCGGGUAGUCCCAGCCGUAAACGAUGCUCGCUAGGUGUCAGGCAUGGCGCGACCGUGUCUGGUGCCGCAGGGAAGCCGUGAAGCGAGCCACCUGGGAAGUACGGCCGCAAGGCUGAAACUUAAAGGGAUUGGCGGGGGGAGCACAACAACGGGUGGAGCCUGCGGUUUAAUUGGAUUCAACGCCCGGAAAUCUCUAAAAGGA